rnacentral:rRNA from 1 species
UAAAGUACAUAAGGGCACAUGGGGGAUGCCUAGGCUCUGGAAGGCGACGAAGGACGUGAUAAGCUGCGAUAAGCCGCGGGGAUUGGCAAAUACGAAUCGAUCCGCGGAUUUCCGAAUGGGGCAACCUGAUACGAGAAGAUUGUAUCAUUCCAUCCAGUAUGGAAGGCAAACGCGGGGAACUGAAACAUCUAAGUACCCGCAGGAGAAGAAAACAAAAGUGAUUCCCGGAGUAGUGGCGAGCGAAACGGGAAUAGCCCAAACCGGUGUUGUUUCGGCAAUACCGGGGUUGUAGGACCGGGAAGUGGCAAGAGACCAAGGAAGCGGAAGCGCCUGGAAAGGCGCAUCGUAGAGGGUGAUAAUCCCGUACGCGACUCCCUGGCGAAGCCUACCGGUAUCCUGAGUAGCGCGGGACACGAGAAAUCCUGUGUGAAUCCGGCGGGACCAUCCGCCAAGGCUAAAUACUCACCAGAGACCGAUAGUGAACCAGUACCGUGAGGGAAAGGUGAAAAGAACCUCGAACAGAGGAGUGAAAUAGACCCUGAAACCAUGUGCUUGCAAGCGGUCGGAGCCCCGUUUACGGGGUGACGGCGUGCCUUUUGCAUAAUGAACCUACGAGUUACUCUUGUUGGCAAGGUUAAGCGCAAUGAUGCGCGUCAGCCGCAGCGAAAGCGAGUCCGAACAGGGCGCAUAGUCAGCAGGAGUAGACGCGAAACCAAGUGAUCUACCCUUGAGCAGGCUGAAGUUUUGGUAACACAACAUGGAGGGCCGAACCGGUAAACGUUGAAAAGUUUUCGGAUGACUUGAGGGUAGGGGUGAAAGGCUAAUCAAACUUGGAGAUAGCUCGUACUCCCCGAAAUGCAUUUAGGUGCAGCCUCGGAUAAUGAGCUUACAUGAGGUAGAGCUACUGAUUGGAUGCGAGGGCUUCGCCGCCUAUCAAGUCCAGACAAACUCCGAAUGCGUGUAAGUGAUCUCCGGGAGUGAGGGCGCGGGUGCUAAGGUCCGUGUCCGAGAGAGGAACAACUCAGACCAUCGGCUAAGGUCCCCAAAUAUAUGCUAAGUUGCAUUAAACGAAGUUCUGCCGCUUUGACAGCUAGGAUGUUGGCUUGGAAGCAGCCAUUCAUUUAAAGAGUGCGUAACAGCUCACUAGUCGAGCGAUCGGGCAUGGAUAAUACACGGGCAUCAAGCAUAUUACCGAAGCUAUGGAUCACGCUUAAAACGUGAUGGUAGGGGAGCAUUCCAGUUGCGUUGAAGGUGAAUCGUAAGGUUUGCUGGAGCGUCUGGAAAAGCAAAUGUAGGCAUAAGUAACGAUAAUGCAGGCGAGAAACCUGCACACCGAAAGACUAAGGUUUCCUGAUCAACGCUAAUCGGAUCAGGGUUAGUCGGGGCCUAAGGAUAAGCCUAGAGGCGAUUCCGAUGGAAGAAACGGUUAAUAUUCCGUUACUGCUUUGAUAAGUUAUGUGGGGACGCAGAAGUGACACCACUGCCAUCUGACGGAAUAGAUGGUUGAAGGGGGUAGGCUGUGACCGGUGCAGGCAAAUCCGCACCGGGAGCUGAACCUGAAAGUAUGGCAAGUCUUCGGAUGAGCCAAUAAUGUGGGUAAGCAGACUGCCGAGAAAAUCCGCUAAACGCCAAUUAUCAACGCACCCGUACCGUAAACCGACACAGGUAGUUGGGUUGAAAAUACUAAGGCGCUCGAGUGAUUCACGGUUAAGGAACUAGGCAAAAUAGUCCUGUAACUUCGGGAGAAAGGACGCCACUGGCGACAGUGGCCGCAGAGAAUAGAUUCUGGCGACUGUUUAACAAAAACACAUGGCUAUGCGAAUUCGAAAGAAGCUGUAUAUAGCCUGACACCUGCCCGGUGCUGGAAGGUUAAGAGGAGAUGUCAUCGCAAGAGAAGCAUUGAAUUGAAGCCCCAGUAAACGGCGGCCGUAACUAUAACGGUCCUAAGGUAGCGAAAUUCCUUGUCGGGUAAGUUCCGACCUGCACGAAUGGUGUAACGAUCUGGGCACUGUCUCAACCGUGAGCUCGGUGAAAUUGUAGUAUCGGUGAAGAUGCCGAUUACCCGCGAUGGGACGAAAAGACCCCGUGAACCUUUACUAUAGCUUUACAUUGACGUUGGGCACUUGAUGUGUAGGAUAGGCCGGAGGCUAUGAAGUGGGUACGCCAGUACUUGUGGAGCCAACCUUGAAAUACGGCCCUUUGAUUGUUUGACGUCUAACCUGUGGAUACAGGGACAUUGUAUGGUGGGUAGUUUGACUGGGGUGGUCGCCUCCAAAAGAGUAACGGAGGCUU